rnacentral:rRNA from 1 species
GGUACAUGGCCGUCGUCAGUUCGUACUGUGAAGCAUCCUGUUAAGUCAGGCAACGAGCGAGACCCACGCCCACAGUUGCCAGCGUACUCUCUGGAGUGACGGGUACACUGUGGGGACCGCCGCUGCUAAAGCGGAGGAAGGAAUGGGCAACGGUAGGUCAGUAUGCCCCGAAUAUCCCGGGCUACACGCGAGCUACAAUGGUUGGUACAAUGGGUAUCUACCCCGAAAGGGGACGGGAAUCUCCUAAAACCAAUCUUAGUUCGGAUUGAGGGCUGCAACUCGCCCUCAUGAAGCUGGAAUCCGUAGUAAUCGCGUUUCAACAGAACGCGGUGAAUACGUCCCUGCUCCUU